rnacentral:rRNA from 1 species
UACGGAGGGUGCAAGCGUUAUCCGGAUUUACUGGGUUUAAAGGGUGCGCAGGCGGUUAUGUAAGUCAGUGGUGAAAUCUCUAGGCUUAACCUGGAAAUUGCCGUUGAUACUAUAUAUCUUGAAUGUUGUGGAGGUAAGCAGAAUAUGUCAUGUAGCGGUGAAAUGCUUAGAUAUGACAUAGAAUACCUAUUGCGAAGGCAGCUUACUACGCAGAUAUUGACGCUCAUGCACGAAAGCGUGGGGAUCAAACAGG